rnacentral:rRNA from 1 species
GACGAACGCUGGCGGCAUGCCUAAUACAUGCAAGUCGAGCGAACAGAUGAAGUGCUUGCACUUCUGACGUUAGCGGCGAACGGGUGAGUAACACGUAAGGAAUCUACCUAUAAGCGGGGGAUAACAUUCGGAAACGGGUGCUAAUACCGCAUAAUAUCUUCUUCCGCAUGGAAGAAGAUUGAAAGACGGCUCUGCUGUCACUUAUAGAUGACCUUGCGGUGCAUUAGUUAGUUGGUGGGGUAACGGCCUACCAAGACGAUGAUGCAUAGCCGACCUGGGAGGGUGAUCGGCCACAUUGAAACUGAGACACGGCCCAAACUCCUACGGGAGGCAGCAGUAGGGAAUCUUCCGCAAUGGGCGAAAGCCUGACGGAGCAAUGCCGCGUGAGUGAAGAAGGCCUUCGGGUCGUAAAACUCUGUUAUAAGAGAAGAACAAAUUGUAGAGUAACUGCUACAGUCUUGACGGUAUCUUAUCAGAAAGCCACGGCUAACUACGUGCCAGCCGCCGCCGUAA